CCUGCUGGACUAUAUGCCCUUUAAAGCAAGUAGAGCACAUUACUCAUCACUCAAUCUCCAGGACCAAGUUAAUGUUCUGUAUAUAGUAAUGUCGACAGCAACAUCUCCCCCAGGUGUAACAACUAAACGUGUCUCCAGACAUUGGCAAAUAUCCUUGGGCCAUGGAGAAAACAUCACCUUCAAUUGAAAACCACUGGGCCACUCUAAUGCCUUCAAGAGAGAAGCAGCACCUUUCAUUGGAGGUAGCUGUAUCACAAGACAGCAGCAACAGCCUUAAGUCCUACAGCACACAGCACUGAAUAAAUGCUUUUGGACAGUUGUCUAUCUUCUGCCUCAGAGAAAAGAUGGAGUCCCGUUAAGAACAUAUGUACCUUGUACCUGACAUAGAAACUUCCUGUCCUAGAUGCUGUAGUAUAUUGUGGGUAUAUACUUGGGGAUUGAGAGAACAGAAAAAAGGCCGAGGCAUCAUCCUCUUCUAUGACUCUGAGGAUCAAAGGCAUUUUCUUGUAUUUCUUGAACAAAGAUUUGUGGAGGACCUACUCUGUGCAGACAUUAUUAGACAAUAAAGAGGAGAGAUCAUGGCGGUGGCAGACGGAGGCAGGGCUAGAUUGAAGCUCCGGACAGAGCAGCAGGCAGCUCGCAUUGUGAAUUUUAACUCCAUAUCAACAGCAAGAAAAAACCAGCAAUCCUGAGAGGACCCACAGACCCUCUGAAGGAAGCAGACUGCUCCUGCAGGACACAGGAGACACC
rnacentral:lncRNA from 1 species